rnacentral:rRNA from 1 species
UACAGAGGGUGCUAACGUUGUUCGGAAUCACUGGGCAUAAAGCGCACGUAGGCGGCUUGGUAAGUGCGGUGUGAAAGCCCCCGGCCUAACCGGGGAACUGCAUCGCAGACUGCCAGGCUCGAGAGCGGGAGGGGAGACUGGAACUCCUGGUGGAGCGGUGAAAUGCGUAGAUAUCAGGAAGAACACCCGUGGCGAAAGCGGCUCUCUGGAACGGUACUGACGCUGAGACGCGAAAGCGUGGGGAGCGAACAGG